rfam:Oryza glumipatula chromosome 8, whole genome shotgun sequence.
AAAAACACAAAUCUUAGUUUUCCGUGUCCAACUUUGACUGUCCGUCUUAUAUGAAUUUUUUUAUAAUUCGUAUUUUCAUUGUUGUUAGAUGAUAAAACAUGAUUAAUAUUUUAUGCGUGACUUGUCUUUUUAAUUUUUUUUCAUAAUUUUUUUAAAUAAGAUGGACGGUUAAACGUUGGGCAUGGAAACCAGGGUUUGUCUUUUU